AGAGAAGGCUGGACGGUCGCCGGUCGCGGCAACGCGGCGGGAGGAAAGUCCGGGCUCCACAGGGCAGGGUGCUGGGUAACGCCCAGGGGGGGAAACCCCACGGAUCAGUGCCACAGAAAGCAAACCGCCGUCCGCGAGGGCGGUAAGGGUGAAACGGUGAGGUAAGAGCUCACCAGCGGCGCGGGUGACCGCGUCGGCUCGGCAAACCCCACCCGGAGCAAGGCCGAAUAGGAGAGCUAUCGGGUUGCCCGCCCGUGCUCUCGGGUUAGGCCGCUGGAGGCGCCGGGCAACCGGCGCCCUAGAGAAAUGACCGGCACCCUGGGCUGAUCCGCUCGGGGAACAGAACCCGGCUUACAGGCCUUCUCUGGCG
rfam:Candidatus Rokubacteria bacterium 13_2_20CM_69_15_1 13_2_20cm_scaffold_2542, whole genome shotgun sequence.